GUCCAUCCCUUAACGUGAUGGACUAGCCUAGCGUCUGUACAUCGACUAUGAAAUGGGAAGAUUUUGCUAGUUAAUUCCUAAGGGAGUGAUUUGACUGUGGCCAUGCUGGGGCACCACCUUUAGUCAAACAAAUCAAGCCCAGGACUUAUUCUUUGUAAGCCUAGUAUCAGUAAAUCGGUAUGAUUUUACAUAAAAUGUGCCUUUUAAAAAUUAAAUAAAAUAUAUAAAAAAAUUGAAUGAAAUUAACAAUACAGGAACAAUACAAAUGAAGCGACGAUCAGGCCACGCUCCGACCACACAAGCCCCGAUCUAUCGCUGGUACCUUUUUUUUGUUCUUUUUACCCCGUCUAUUCACACGGUUUCUUUCACGCACAACACUCGUGCAACAUGCUUCCAUCUCUUUUGGAACGUACACUCCGACAGACAUCGCUUCUCCAGCCACACUUUCCUUUUCAAAUGAAAAG